UAAUAUGACUUUAUAUAAACUAAGUAUAUUAUAAUUUCAAUAUAAAUUCAAAAUGGAUAAGUUCGAUGCGACGGUUUUUCUAAUACUGCAUUCUUGAUUUGGAAUUUUCCAUUCUAUUUAUAGAUCCAGAAAAAUUUUAUCCAAACGGUUGUGCAACGUUGGUACACCGUUCACAACCAGUCCCACUUUUUUGGUUGAUAACGUUUUCUUGUAUAUAAAACAGAUGACGCAGUUCAUUGAACUUGAAAAUACAAUGUAAUUUUAUAUACACUGCGCCGUGAUUUGUUGUUGUAAACACUCUAUAUUAUGUAUAUACAAUAUUUCCCCUUUUUCAUAUUUUUCAUUUCAUUCGCUCGUUCUUUUUUAUUUCACUCCACCACACUUGACAAAUAGCUGAUAUGAUUUAUUUUUGAUCGAUUUUGCCAUGCGGCAACACCGAUCAAACUGAACGAAAGCUAUUGAACGAAUCUUUUUUUGUCUGCAAAUGUCAAUAUUUGAUUUAUAAAAAAUAAACAAGUGAAAUGUGGUGUAGUGUUUUUUGUUGAUUUAUUUUGUUUUGCAAAAUUAGCAAAAAUUAUGGAAAAAAAAGUUCCACAAAUAUUAAAAAAUUAAUAUAAAACAAACACGAGAUCAACCACGAAAGAAGGACUGACUGCGCUGGACCAAAAUACCCAGGACUAAAGCGAUUGCAAACCUGCAAUAUAUUCAACAGGUAAGUUGAAGUUUCUUUUAUAUUUGAUCAAAUAUAUGUAUGUUAUAUGCUUUAAGUAGUUUCAAUUUUAGGUUGAGAUGUACACUUGCGCAGUUGGAUGCAUAUUGAAUUCAUCAGAUAAGUACAAUCAUGUUAUUGUUGUGAAUUUUGUAUUCUUUGUUGUUGUUGUUUUUUUUUCUUUUAGGAAAUUUUCUUUGCCUGUGACGUCACGACGGAACAACGUUGAUGUAAUUAUAGUUGAAAAUAUUAUUUCAGCAGUUUUGUGUCGAAAUACAUAUUUAAGUCAUCUUUUGUUUCAAUUGGUUUAUUAGAAAAUUUGGAUACAAAAACCAACCUACUACUUACGUAGGUUAUGAACAUUGUACUUUCACAUUGUACAUUGUAAUUUGUAUGAAUAUUGUACUUUCGCGUCACUAAGAUUAUUGCUCUGCCACCAAUUUUUUUAUUGGUUUAUACAUAUUCAAUGGCAUUACAUGCAACCCGUAUGUUAUAGAGGGAUAUGACUAUGACCUUGGAUUUAACCAUUUUGUAUAAAAAGAAUGCUCAGAAGCUAUAAAUCCAGUGGGCAAAGUUUUUUUAAUGUACUCCAAAUUGUAGUAGUGUGUGAUAUUUGUGAUAUCAGGCCAUUUCAGGAGUAUUUUGUACUUUAUCAUAAUGAUUUCGAAUCAAUUUUCUUCCUUGUACAAGCGCUUUGAAGAGUUUCAUUUUCUUUCACACUUUCGCAGCUUUUACAUUAAACUUUUACCUAGAUAAAUUUAUUACAGAUUAGUUUAUAGCAAAUCUAUAAUUGUUCUGAAGAUGGGAUCUUGAAAAACAAUGACGUCAAAUUUUCUCCAGUUGUUUCUUUCUUUGUUCCAAGUAUUAUCAAAGCCAUAAGGGGUGAGCUAUUAAAUAGUUAGAAAAUUUUUUAAAGUAAUUUUGUAGAGAUUAACCAUAGUUCAAACCGCUCUUUUUACUUCAUACAGCAAUGUGAAAAAAAAAAAUAUUACAGAAUUAGCACACGCCAAGAUUUUGACAAUUUACCACCACAUCAAACUUGGUACGUUAAAAUUCAUAUAUAAUUAGCACUGCCCAACGCAAUGAAGCCAAAUAGCCAGCGAUAAAAUCUAAUUUUAUCGCUGGCUAUUUUUGUUUUAAUUUGUUUCUAUGUGUGUUUGACAUUAUAUAUGACAAAAUAUUAGACAGCCGAUUGUCCCAUUCAGCUGUUGUUCUAUGUCAACAACAAAAAUCGUUUGUCAGUUUCUGCUUUGAUUUCUGCUACAUAAUUAUGUAAAAAAGUUGUUAAAAUAUUAUUUUUAAUUUCUGUGCUUAUUUUAAAUCUCCUUUACUUAUAAAAAACAACCCAGAAAUACGAAGAGUGAGUAGUUUGACAUCUCCCAAUUCUUACAAUUUGUGUUAAUUUUAGUGCCACAUGAAAUACGAGUAUAAAUUGGAAAAAGAAACUGAGCAAAAAAAAAGAGACUACAACAGAUUGGAAGUGAAACUGCAAGAGAGACUUCAAAAUUGAAAGUGAAGAUUGGAUCUCGAAUUCUUCAUUUUCUUUUACAGGAGAUCAGCAGCAAGCUAGAUAAAAUACAGUCCUUUAGAAAAAAUAACGUCUAAGAAAAAAUGGAAGUUCUUAAAGACUGGGCUUUUCCGAUAAUUCAGUUCUGCACUGAAAGAUCUAACUUAGGUUUGUAAAAACUUUUUACGCAUACUUACAAACUUCUACAAUCUGAAUGACAUAUCUUUGCAUGUCUGAAAUGUCUAUAAUUUUUUUUAACAAGCUUUUAUUUUGUUGUUUGUCAAUUUGUUUGUUUGCAAAUUGUCAAUUUUAUAAAAAUAAAAAAAGAAAGAUGUCUGAAGAACAAAGUAA